rnacentral:rRNA from 1 species
AUUGAACGCUGGCGGCAUGCCUUACACAUGCAAGUCGAACGGCAGCACGGGGGCAACCCUGGUGGCGAGUGGCGAACGGGUGAGUAAUGCAUCGGAACGUGCCCUGAAGUGGGGGAUAACGUAGCGAAAGUUACGCUAAUACCGCAUAUUCUGUGAGCAGGAAAGCAGGGGAUCGCAAGACCUUGCGCUUUAGGAGCGGCCGAUGUCGGAUUAGCUAGUUGGUGGGGUAAAAGCUCACCAAGGCGACGAUCCGUAGCGGGUCUGAGAGGAUGAUCCGCCACACUGGGACUGAGACACGGCCCAGACUCCUACGGGAGGCAGCAGUGGGGAAUAUUGCGCAAUGGACGGAAGUCUGACGCAGCGACGCCGCGUGAGCGAUGAAGGUCUUCGGGGCGUAAACUCCUGGACUGGGGGACGAGGAAGGACGGUACCCCAGUACGAAAGGGACGGCUAACUACGUG